rnacentral:rRNA from 1 species
CAAUACAGUGAUGUGGAGGCAAAACCCUAAAAAACCGAAUCUCAGUUCGGAUUGAAGUCUGAAAUUCGACUUCAUGAAGCUGGAAUUGCUAGUAAUGGCAGGUCAGCAUACUGCCGUGAAUACGUUCCCGGGCCUUGUACACACCGCCCGUCACACCAUGAGAGUUGGGAAUACCCGAAGCCUGUGAGCUAACUUUUUAAGAGGCAGCAGUCGAAGGUAGAAUCAAUGAUUGGGGUGAAGUCGUAACAAGGUAAC